rnacentral:rRNA from 1 species
UACGUAGGGUGCAAGCGUUGUCCGGAAUUAUUGGGCGUAAAGAGCUCGUAGGCGGCUUGUCGCGUCGGCUGUGAAAACCUGGGGCUCAACCCCGGGCCUGCAGCCGAUACGGGCAAGCGUAGAAUUCGGUAGGGGAGACUGGAAUUCCUGGUGUAGCGGUGAAAUGCGCAGAUAUCAGGAGGAACACCGGUGGCGAAGGCG